AUGAAUCGGAAUAUCGAUCUGGACGAGUGCACACUAGUGGGAGAUAAUCGCGAGCGGGAGAGGGAGAGAGCUGGCAUGAGCGGGUUUGGGGAGAUAAUCGCGAGCGCCGUGGGGAAACAAGUCGCGGGCAAGCUCGGUGAACUCGCCACGGAGGAGGCCACCCUGCAGUGGAAGUUCAAGGACGAUGUUGAUGUCAUGGCGGACAAGAUGCAAGAUCUGGAGGCCGUUUUGCAUGAUGCGGAUGAUAGGCUGCGUCGACGAGGAAGAGAUGGGGAAGCUGUUGGGCGGUGGCUCACCAAAUUCAAGUCCGUCGCCUACGACGUCGAGGACGUGCUGGACGAUCUGGACGCCACCGAGCUCUUAAAGAAGAGCCAACCAAAGUUGAAACUGUUCUUUUCUUGGAACAAUCAAAUUCUCCAGCGGAUCACCAUGCCUCACAAGCUGAAGAAUGUGAGGGGGGAAAUAGAAAAAAUAAGAAAGGAGGGCCAGGCUCUCAAUCUUGUGAGACAUCAAGAACAAGCACAAGGGAGCAUAAACAAUGAAAGUUUUGUAGGCAUCUGUGAUGAAGGCUUGAAAUCUGGAGUGGUGGGGAGGGAUAUGGAAAAGGACAAAAUAAUCAGGCUGCUACUAAACAAUGACGGUUACGCUAGAGAGGCUAUAUCUAUUAUCCCGAUUGUCGGGCUUGGUGGUCUAGGAAAGUCAACAUUGGCUGAAUCAGUCUUUGUGGACAAGAGGGUCAAUGACUUCGAGGUCCGAGCCUGGGUUCAUGUGUCUAAGGAGUUUGGUCUGCGCAAAAUUGGGAGUGCCAUCCUCAAAAGCAUAAAUAGCAGCAUCAACCUUGACAAUUGUAGUUUGCAGUUUUUACAGGAAAAUCUCAAAAAGGAACUUGCUGGUAGAAGGUACUUGAUUGUUUUGGAUGAUCUUUGGGAAGAGGAUGUGGAUAAGCUGGAAAGGCUGAAGCGGAUGUUACGACAUGGCCGCACGGGUAGCAGGGUUAUUGUAACUACGCGUAACCAAAGCGUAGUGAAUAAAUUGAGCACCGGUGUUCUUGCACACCAAAGAAAAAUUUGUCCCGUGCCGAACUAUGAUCAAAUCAACUUGUGUGUUUUGUCAACUGAUGAAUGCUGGGAAGUAAUGAAGCAUACCACAUUUGGGCCCGAUGAUGACAAAAGUGACUUGGAGGAAAUUGGAAGGAAAAUUGCUGAGAAGUGUGGGGGUGUACCACUCGUGGCAAUUGCCCUUGGGCAAGUAAUGUCCGAGUUAAGGACUGUCGAGGCAUGGCAAAAAAUAAGAGACACAAACAUCGAUUUGGGUCAUAGAGAUCACAAGGACACAUUGGAGCGCCUCAUGCUAAGCUAUUACUACAUGAAGCUGGAAUUCAAAAUGUGCUUCACAUAUUUGGCGGCGUUUCCCAAGGGCUUCAUUAUAGAAAGUGAUCAUCUAAUUCAGCAAUGGAAGGCUCUUGGAUACAUAAUUGGAUGGGACGAUGGUAAAAGGUGCAUUAACUACCUUAUGGGGAUGUCUUUUCUUCAAAUUUCAAAAUCUUCCGCGAUUAGGUCAAGUCCAGUGCAUGCCAAUGCUCCUCGAGAGCUCACCAUGCAUGAUUUGGUGCAUGAUCUUGCAACGAUAAUUUUGGGACAUGAAUCCCUUGUUCUAAAUGCUACCGAGCCAAGGACUAGGAAGAAAGCAAAACAACGUUAUUGCCGACAUGCACAGUUGAUCAACUACCAGAAUCAGUAUAAGGUUUUCAAUGAUCUGCCAGGCAACAUCAGAUCCUUGCAUGUAAGACAUUCAAAGAAACAGCAGCUCCCGCAGAAGGCAUUUUCUAGAACCAAGUAUAUACGGGUCUUGGACCUAAGUGGAUGUUUAGCUGUGGGGCAGUCAACUACGAGAGAAAAACUUUUGCCAUCUUCCACUAUUCAGUUAAAGCUACUUAGGUACCUCAAUGCCUCUAGCUUGCCAAUUAGAUCACUUCCUAAGUCAUUCCAUACACUUCAAAAUAUGGAAACUCUAAUUCUGUCCAAUUGCUCACUUGCGACCUUGCCUAACAGUAUCUGUAGCCUCAGCAAACUUAGCUAUUUGGAUCUAGCUGGCAAUGCAAGGCUCAGUAAGCUUCCUGACAAAUUUAAUCUUCUUAGUAAACUCAUAUUCCUAAACAUGUCAAGUUGUUCCAAGCUAACCAAACUUCCUGACAAUUUUAGCCUGGAGCGUUUAGAUCAUUUAAACCUAUCAGGUUGUCAUGAGUUAGAAAACCUGCCACAAGAUUUCCACAAUCUUCAGAAUCUUAGGUUCUUGAACCUUUCUGGUUGCUACAAGAUUUCAUUUCUGCCAGAAUCAUUUUGCCAACUGAAGCAUUUGAAAUACCUAAACCUUUCAGAGUGUUGUGCCCUUAUAGUGCUCCCUGAAGGUUUUGGUGACCUUUCAGAACUUGAAUCUUUGAACCUUUCUGAUUGCUACAAGAUUUCAGUUAUGCCGGAAUCAUUUUGCCAAAUGACGCAUUUGAAAGACCUAAACCUUUCAGACUGCCGUGCCCUUAUAGUGCUCCCUGAAGGUUUUGGUAACCUUUCAGAGCUUGAAUCUUUGAACCUUUCUGAUUGCUACGAGAUUUCAGUUCUGCCAGAAUCACUUUGCCAACUGAAGCAUUUGAAAGACCUAAACCUUUCAGAUUGUCGAGCCCUUAUAGUACUCCCUGAAUGUUUUGGUGACCUUUCAAAGUUGGAGUCUUUGAACCUAACAAGUUGUCCCAGGCUAGCACGGUUGCCCGAGUCAAUCUGCAAGAUGACUAAUCUGAAGUGUCUCAAUUUGUCAUAUUGUCUAGGGAUCCUAGAGCUCCCCUCCUCACUAGGUGAUCUUAGUCUCCAAAUAUUGGACAUUUCUGCUGGUGCUCUCAUUCACUUGCCAGAUAGCAUCAGUAAAAUGGCUAGUCUCACGGAAUUUGUGGUCACGUCAGGACAUCCUAGGGUGUUUGGAGAAGCCCAGGAAAUAAAGAAGAGUCUAAAUUUGCCAGGCCGCACAGUACAUAGAGUAUGCAGGAGACCUUCAGGACACAACAGUAUAGUGGAGCUUGCACAUGAGAAUUGCCGUGAGUUGUUAAUUGGAUCUCUUCAGUGUGUCGAGAAACCACAAGACGCAAAGAGAGUCAACCUGCGUGAUAAAUCAUGUGUUCGGCAGUUAGCUCUCCACUGGAACAAACGGAAUAUGAAUGCUUCCCGCAAAAAAGGAAAGCUGAAUAUGAAUGCCGGUGAAUUAGAUGAAUCUAUUCUGGAGAACCUAAUACCAGCUCGAAAUCUUGAACAGUUUAUGAUACAAGGGUAUACGAGCAAGGGUUUCCCUAAUUGGAUGUCGCACAUAUCCUCCCACCUCCCUUGUAUUACCUAUCUGAGUCUUUCUGAUUUACGUGCAUGUGAAAAUCUUCCUCCGUUUGGGCAACUGCCAAACUUAAGAAGUCUAUAUCUGCAUAAAAUUCCUAAAAUCAGGAAAAUCGGCAAGGAAUUCUAUGGGGAAGGUGGAACUUGUAAGAAACUAAGAUUGCUACAACUGCAGUCAAUGGUCAAUUUGGCAGAAUGGUGGACAACACAGUCAGGCAAAGAAGAUGGAGAAUUUUUAAUCCCUAAUUUGCACAAUCUAGAGUUAAAGGACUGCCCAUUGUUGGAGUUCCUACCAUAUCCCCCCAGAAGUAUGUUUUGGUGCUUGGACAAUAGCGAUGAGGUUUUGACAGGACUACGAUUUGGGAAACUCUCAUCUUCCACUCUUCCUUGUCGCAUGGGUAUAAAAAAUUGCAGCUUUCAUCCUGGCAAGUGGAGUAGACUAGAGCAAUUCCCAACUCUCGAAGAAUUCUCAUUGACCUCCUCCUACGGUUUGAGGGCCUUGCCGGAGGCCAUUCGCUGCUUCACCUCUCUCAAAAAGCUAAGUUUGAUGUCGUUGCAUUGGCUGGAGAAGAUGCCAGAAUGGUUGGGAGAUCUCACUUCUCUACAGGUUUUGGGCAUAAAAGAUUGUUGCAAUUUAACUUUUUUGCCUGAAAGUAUGAAAAAACUCACUGCUCUGAGAGUGCUAAUGCUUCUCGAGUGCGAAGGACUAGAUAUAUUGCCGCAAUGGCUAGGACAGCUCAGUUCCCUACGAGAACUUCACAUCAGAGACUGUCCCAACAUCACAUCUUUGCCUGAAAGCAUACAAAACCUUACUGCCUUGGAGGAACUGUACAUUUCUGGUUGUUCAAGUCUGGUUGGAAGGUCCCGCAGGGAGGAUGCAUAUAAGGUUUCUCACAUCCAUAAAGUAAUAUUUGAGCCAGAAGAACCAAAUGAGGAACAAGGACAAGAAGAACCACAGGGAGCAUGUAUGGAUAGGCUAUUGAAAAAACACGGAGAAAGGUAUUAUGGAGAAAAUUCGUCAAGACAUAGAGAGGAACGAGAAGAACUAGAGCUAACAAAUGGACAAGCUGCGGAACCGGAGAACGGGAAGCUUGACCGUCACAGUCAUAGGUCGAACUUUGAAAGAGAAAAUUGUUGA
rnacentral:rRNA from 1 species